UACGAAGGAGGCAAGCGUUGUUCGGAUUUACUGGGCGUAAAGGGAGCGUAGGUGGUUAGGUAAGCCCUCCGGGAAAUCUUCAGGCUUAACCUGAAAAGGUCGGGGGGGACUGCCUGGCUAGAGGACGGGAGAGGAGCGCGGAAUUCCCGGUGUAGCGGUGAAAUGCGUAGAGAUCGGGAGGAAGGCCGGUGGCGAAGGCGGCGCUCUGGAACGUUUCUGACACUGAGGCUCGAAAGCGUGGGGAGCAAACAGG
rnacentral:rRNA from 1 species